UGUACACGACAGCUUGGCCCACGGGGCAC
rnacentral:piRNA from 1 species